rnacentral:rRNA from 1 species
GAUGAACGCUGGCGGCGUGCCUAAUACAUGCAAGUCGAACGCGCAGCGAAAGGUGCUUGCACCUUUCAAGCGAGUGGCGAACGGGUGAGUAACACGUGGAUAACCUGCCUCAAGGCUGGGGAUAACAUUUGGAAACAGAUGCUAAUACCGAAUAAAACUUAGUAUCGCAUGAUACAAAGUUAAAAGGCGCUACGGCGUCACCUAGAGAUGGAUCCGCGGUGCAUUACUUAGUUGGUGGGGUAAAGGCCUACCAAGCCGAUGAUGCAUAGCCGAGUUGGGAAACUGAUCGGCCACAUUGGGACUGAGACACGGCCCAAACUCCUACGGGAGGCUGCAGUAGGGAAUCUUCCAAAAUGGGCGCAAGCCUGAUGGAGCAACGCCGCGUGUGUGAUGAAGGCUUUCGGGUCGUAAAGCACUGUUGUAUGGGAAGAAAUGCUAAAAUAGGGAAUGAUUUUAGUUUGACGGUACCAUACCAGAAAGGGACGGCUAAAUACGUGCCAGCCGCCGCCGUAA